UCCUACGGGAGGCAGCAGUAGGGAAUCUUCCGCAAUGGACGAAAGUCUGACGGAGCAACGCCGCGUGAGUGAUGAAGGCUUUCGGGUCGUAAAACUCUGUUGUUAGGGAAGAACAAGUGCUAGUUGAAUAAGCUGGCACCUUGACGGUACCUAACCAGGAAGCCACGGCUAACUACGUGCCAGCAGCCGCGGUAAUACGUAGGUGGCAAGCGUUAUCCGGAAUUAUUGGGCGUAAAGCGCGCGCAGGUGGUUUCUAAAGUCUGAUGUGAAAGCCCACGGCUCAACCGUGGAGGGUCAUUGGAAACUGGGAGACUUGAGUGCAGAAGAGGAAAGUGGAAUUCCAUGUGUAGCGGUGAAAUGCGUAGAGAUAUGGAGGAACACCAGUGGCGAAGGCGACUUUCUGGUCUGUAACUGACACUGAGGCGCGAAAGCGUGGGGAGCAAACAGGAUUAGAUACCCUGGUAGUCCACGCCGUAAACGAUGAGUGCUAAGUGUUAGAGGGUUUCCGCCCUUUAGUGCUGAAGUUAACGCAUUAAGCACUCCGCCUGGGGAGUACGGCCGCAAGGCUGAAACUCAAAGGAAUUGACGGA
rnacentral:rRNA from 1 species